GCCGAAGUGGUGGAAUUGGUAGACACGCUGGACUCAAAAUCCAGUGAAUGCAAAUUCGUGUGGGUUCGAGUCCCACCUUCGGUA
rnacentral:tRNA from 1 species